ACCCCCCCAAGCCAAAGCUUACACUUGCCACAUUUGUAGCUUUGGAGGAAAUUAGAAAGCGCUGCCCUUUUCAUCUUCAGGACUCCUCCUUGAAGUAAAAUGGCAAAGAUCAGAUUUUCAUUGCAAGGUUAUUAGAUUUAGCUUUAUGUGGAUUCGUUUUACAAGAAUUAAAGGAUAUCUUAACCGUGCACCUUGCUUCGCCCCUGUGGCUCUUGUGGCAGGGAAAGACAUGAUUUUUUCCCCAGCACAAACAAUUAUCCCUUAAGCAGCAGAUAAAAUGAUUCGGUCACAGCUAAGUGCCAGGAAAGGCCGUCGGUGCUGCAGGGCCCGGCCUGGCAAACAGGCGGCCACGUGCCAGGGGACAGUGCCACCGCUGCCGUGAGCACCAGCCCCCGUGGCCAUCGUUCCCCUGGCCGGAUGGGGAUGUCUCCUUGGUAAUUAAUUUAUUUUGGGUGCAUAAUGCCUUGGCGAGCCAUGGCGUAUAUGUCUGUGCCCCCAUUUGCCUGUAAAUUGGGUCUGACUUUAAGUUGGGAGGUUGGAGUGAUGCUCGCAUCUCGCUGUGAAAUCUUUAGAUGAGGUAUGGACACAAAAGGUGCGCUGGACACGCUUCAUUGCCACGCUGGGAGAGCAGCGAUGGACGUAUCUUAUUCAUUAAAAUAAAUCAGAGGUUUCCUGCUGGUCACAAAAAAGCGCUCAUCGCGUGAGUCCGGCUGUCCCACACCCCCUGUUUCCCACAGAUCAGUCUGGUCUUCUUGCACGGGACUUGCUCUGCUCUGAACUUCACCGAGAGCGCAUCGUGCCCCAAAGUCAGGGAUGUCUCCUGGUUUCUCCCCGAGGGCAGAGGAUCUCCGUAGGGGUUACUGAGUUAUUGGAACUGGCUGUCUUCUUCCAGGUCAGGAGCUGUGAUUUCCCUGAUUUAGACGUGUGUUUGCUCUCUUUCAGAGCCCAUUAUGCAGGUUUGUCAUGUGAGAACGCGUGCUCCCAGCGGUGUUGGAGGUGCUUGGCCAUAUGUCACGAGAUGAAACUUCUCUCUUUGCUCGAGAAGGUCAGACGCGGGGUGGAUAAUACAUGCUGGAGUGCAUCUUGA
rnacentral:lncRNA from 1 species